AUUGAACGCUGGCGGCAGGCCUAACACAUGCAAGUCGAGCGGAUGAAGGGAGCUUGCUCCUGGAUUCAGCGGCGGACGGGUGAGUCAUGCCUAGGAAUCUGCCUGGUAGUGGGGGAUAACGUCCGAAAACGUGCGCUAAUACCGAAUACGUCCUGAGGGAGAAAGUGGGGGAUCUUCGGACUUCACGCUAUCAGAUGAGCCUAGGCCGGAUUAGCUAGUUGGUGGGGUAAAGGCCUACCAAGGGGACGAUCCGUAACUGGGCUGAGAGGAUGAACAGUCACACUGGAACUGAGACACGGUCCAGACUCCUACGGGAGGCAGCAGUGGGGAAUAUUGGACCAUGGGCGAAAGACUGAUCCAGCCAGGCCGCGUGUGUGAAGAAGGUCUUCGGAUUGUAAAGCACUUUAAGUUGGGAGGAAGGGCAGUAAGUUAAUACCUUGAUGUUUUGACGUUACCAACAGAAUAAGCACCGGCUAACUUCGUG
rnacentral:rRNA from 1 species